rnacentral:rRNA from 1 species
AUUGAACGCUGGCGGAAUGCUUUACACAUGCAAGUCGAACGGCAGCACGGGGCAACCUGGUGGCGAGUGGCGAACGGGUGAGUAAUACAUCGGAACGUGCCCAAUCGUGGGGGAUAACGUAGCGAAAGUUACGCUAAUACCGCAUACGAUCUACGGAUGAAAGCGGGGGAUCGCAAGACCUCGCGCGAAUGGAGCGGCCGAUGUCAGAUUAGGUAGUUGGUGGGGUAAAGGCUCACCAAGCCGACGAUCUGUAGCUGGUCUGAGAGGACGACCAGCCACACUGGGACUGAGACACGGCCCCAGACUCCUACGGGAGGCAGCAGUGGGGAAUUUUGGACAAUGGGCGCAAGCCUGAUCCAGCCAUUCCGCGUGCAGG